GACGAACGCUGGCGGCGUGCUUAACACAUGCAAGUCGAGCGAUGAAGUUCCUUCGGAAAUGGAUUAGCGGCGAGCGGGUGAGGAACACGUGAAGAAUCUGCCCUCCACUUUGGGAUAACACCGGGAAACCGGUGCUAAUACCGAAUAUUGAAACAUAAGUGGCAUCACUGAGUUUUGAAAGAAUUUCGGUGGAGGAUGACUUCGCGGCCUAUCAGCUAGUUGGUGAGGUAAUGGCUCACCAAGGCAACGACGGGUAGCCGGCCUGAGAGGGCGACCGGCCACACUGGGACUGAGACACGGCCCAGACUCCUACGGGAGGCAGCAGUGGGGAAUAUUGGGCAAUGGAGGAAACUCUGACCCAGCGACGCCGCGUGCGGGAUGAAGGCCUUCGGGUUGUAAACCGCUUUCAGUAGGGAAGAAGCGAAAGUGACGGUACCUACAAAAGAAGCACCGGCUAACUAUGUGCCAGCCGCCGCGGUAA
rnacentral:rRNA from 1 species